AGGAGCCAAAGUAGCGGGGACAUAAAAAGCAGACGCACCGGAUUCUUCUUCCACUUCCUCCUUCCCUCUGCUGCUGCAAAGAAGAGAUGGCGCACGGUUUGCUGCCAAAGGUUUCGGUUUUGAGGCUUCUUGCACAAGAAGAUGUGAUCAACACCUUCAGUGAGGAUCAACGCCUCAAGCCCAGCAGGAUUUGUUCCCCAAUAACAUCAUAAAUGCUGGAGAGGUGUUGGAAACCUAGUGGAGAUGAAAACCUGUGAAAUAUCAGCUGUGAUAAAUGCUUCACUAAUAGUGAAUCUAAAGUGGCCGACAUCUGGCCCUGGAAAAUCAUAAACAAGUCCUGAACAGCUUCGCCGACCUGAUGGAGAGUUCCUGUUUUGAAGGUCAAAAUCAGGAAGUGAUGUCAUCAAGGUUCCCCUCCACAUAACUGGCGUUCAUCCAGGAAGGAGGAGCCACCCGAAGCGCAGCAUUGGAACGAAGCGCAGAUGAAGGUUGAAGUUGCCUAAACCAUAUUGAUGGAAAUGGUCAACUGAACCAUAUUGGUUUUCUUCUCGAGGACGAUGAAACUUCUGACCAGACUGUAUUUUAGCCUGACGUCUUGGCUUGAGGUUUGCUGGUGGACUCCAGCUGAAUCUGAAGAACUUGCUGUUGAGAUUUUUUUUAAAAAAUUUUGUUUUCUGUGAAUUAAAACUGACAAAAUA